CAAAAUCUAGCGUCCACAGGCCUCAGCUCAACCUGACCUUCUCCUGCUGCUGACGGACGCCGCACGCGAGGAGCGUUGCAGCCUGCAGGCGCCACCCCGCCGGCCGCUGCUACGCCGCACGCUACCGCCGCUGACCAGCCGCUAGCUGAGCAGCCUCCCAACCCGCCGCAGCGCCGGCCACCGGCCUCCGUGGAUCCCUUCGCGAGUCCGUGUCCGUGGCUCCCGCAGGCACCGCGCCGGCCGACCUCCGCGGCUUCGUGCAGGCGCGUUCAAGUCGCAGGCCGCCGGUCACCGUCCCCCGCUCUCGGACUCCCAGGCUCCGGCCUCCAAGCCUCUGGCCCCCGGCCGUGACCCAUCCGCCCCCUUAACUUUACGAGGACAUGAAAGAUGCAAAUGCACCACCUCACUAGAUACUAGUUAUCCAAACAGGCUGAAGCAUCGGACUCGCUACU